rnacentral:rRNA from 1 species
GAACCCUUCGGGGUGAGCGGCGGACGGGUGAGUAACGCGUGGGUAACCUGCCCUGUACACACGGAUAACAUACCGAAAGGUAUGCUAAUACGAGAUAACAUACUUUUAUCGCAUGGUAGAAGUAUCAAAGCUUUUGCGGUACAGGAUGGACCCGCGUCUGAUUAGCUAGUUGGUAAGGUAACGGCUUACCAAGGCGACGAUCAGUAGCCGACCUGAGAGGGUGAUCGGCCACAUUGGAACUGAGACACGGUCCAAACUCCUACGGGAGGCAGCAGUGGGGAAUAUUGCACAAUGGGCGAAAGCCUGAUGCAGCAACGCCGCGUGAGCGAUGAAGGCCUUCGGGUCGUAAAGCUCUGUCCUCAAGGAAGAUAAUGACGGUACUUGAGGAGGAAGCCCCGGCUAACUACGUGCCAGCAGCCGCGGUAAUACGUAGGGGGCUAGCGUUAUCCGGAAUUACUGGGCGUAAAGGGUGCGUAGGUGGUUUCUUAAGUCAGAGGUGAAAGGCUACGGCUCAACCGUAGUAAGCCUUUGAAACUGGGAAACUUGAGUGCAGGAGAGGAGAGUGGAAUUCCUAGUGUAGCGGUGAAAUGCGUAGAUAUUAGGAGGAACACCAGUUGCGAAGGCGGCUCUCUGGACUGUAACUGACACUGAGGCACGAAAGCGUGGGGAGCAAACAGGAUUAGAUACCCUGGUAGUCCACGCCGUAAACGAUGAGUACUAGCUGUCGGAGGUUACCCCCUUCGGUGGCGCAGCUAACGCAUUAAGUAUCCCGCCUGGGGAGUACGGUCGCAAGGCUGAAAC